UAUAAGAUUUUUUAACAUUUUUUUCAAACAAAUAUUUCCACCAGGGCUAGAAAUUAUUUAUUUUCAAAUGUACAACAUGGUAGUUUAUGUGCACGACGAGAGCCGCUUUCACCUUAAAGCUGCGCUUGCAGUGGUCGCAAAUGUACUCUACAUCGGUGUGUUUCUUCAUGUGUCUCUAAAAAGGAUAAAAGUUAUAGCAAAUAAUAAUAAAUACUCUCUAUUGUUCACCAACAAAGAAACGUUACAGAAAAGUGACAUAUACAAAGAAAGAUGUACAAAGGCGGUCUUAUCGCUUAGACCUAUUUCUUCCAGACAACCUUAGGGUGUACAGGGCGUAGAAAAUGAGAAGCGGUAGGGAAGUGUAAAAAGAGUUGAUAAAAGAAACAAAGAAUUAAAAAAAAAAAAAAAAAAUGAAUAUAGAAUAAAAUACAAUUUUUGAUGUUU